rnacentral:rRNA from 1 species
UACGUAGGGACCAAGCGUUGUUCGGAUUUACUGGGCGUAAAGGCGCGUAGGCGGCCACCGCAAGUCGACUGUGAAAUCUCCGGGCUUAACCCGGAAAGGUCAGCCGAUACUGCGGGGCUAGAGUGCAGAAGGGGCAACUGGAAUUCUCGGUGUAGCGGUGAAAUGCGUAGAUAUCGAGAGGAACACCUGCGGCGAAGGCGGGUUGCUGGGCUGACACUGACGCUGAUGCGCGAAAGCUAGGGGAGCGAACGGG